rnacentral:rRNA from 1 species
UACGUAGGGUGCAAGCGUUAAUCGGAAUUACUGGGCGUAAAGCGUACGCAGGCGGCUUUGCAAGACAGGUGUGAAAUCCCCGGGCUUAACCUGGGAACCGCAUUUGUGACUGCAUAGCUGGAGUACGGCAGAGGGGGAUGGAAUUCCGCGUGUAGCAGUGAAAUGCGUAGAUAUGCGGAGGAACACCGAUGGCGAAGGCAGUCCCCUGGGCCUGUACUGACGCUCAUGUACGAAAGCGUGGGGAGCAAACAGG